rnacentral:tRNA from 1 species
CGGGGUGUGGCUCAGCUUGGUAGAGCGCUUGGUUCGGGACUAAGAGGUCGAAGGUUCAAAUCCUUUCACCCCGA